CUGUGCUAGAUGGGGAGUUAGCGGUUCCUUAUAACCUGAAAUCCGCUUAUGCAGGGUUGAAUUCCGAAAGGCGGAUUCUGCUGCGAUUUAAAGUGUUAANUAAUUUGUGUUGAUGUUAACAGCUCUACGCAAUAGNGUUUAAUUGAACUCCGUCAGGUCUGGAANGAAGCAGCGGUAAAUUGAAUUUCUUUGUGCCGUAGAAAAACUGUUUACUAGCNANUUAUUUAAUUAUUUUUUUUCUAACAGAGNAUUCAACUUUCGGUGCACAG
rnacentral:SRP_RNA from 1 species